ensembl:snRNA U2 U2 spliceosomal RNA
UGUCCUUCAUAGGAGGUCUAUAUUGAGCAGAUUCUUUUUGGUAUUGGGUGGUGGAACCGGAGCGUGCUCCAUCCACUCCAUGCAUUGACCUGGUAUUGCAGUGCUUCCAGGACCGAUGC